UACGUAGGAGGCAAGCGUUGUCCGGAAUACUGGGCGUAAAGCGCGUGUAGGUGGUGGGACAAGUCUGCUGUGAAAGCGCCUGGCUUAACCGGGCGAGGUCGGCGGAAACUGUCCGACUCGAGGACGGUAGAGGGGGGUGGAAUUCCCGGUGGAGCGGGUGAAAUGCGUAGAUAUCGCUUGGAACGCCAAAGGUGAAAAACAGGUUGCUGGGGGUUGUGCCGACGCUGAGACACGAAAGCCAGGGGAGCAAACGGG
rnacentral:rRNA from 1 species